GACGAACGCUGGCGGCGUGCCUAACACAUGCAAGUCGAACGGAACUUAUCGAAUGAAGUUUUCGGAUGGAUUUUGGUAAGUUUAGUGGCGGACGGGUGAGUAACGCGUGAGUAACCUGCCUUCAAGAGGGGAAUAACGUUCUGAAAAGAACGCUAAUACCGCAUAACAACAAAAGCCGCAUGGCUUUUGUUUGAAAGAUGGCUUUGGCUAUCACUCUGGGAUGGACCUGCGGUGCAUUAGCUAGUUGGUAAGGUAACGGCUUACCAAGGCGAUGAUGCAUAGCCGAGUUGAGAGACUGAUCGGCCACAAUGGAACUGAGACACGGUCCAU
rnacentral:rRNA from 1 species